rnacentral:sRNA from 1 species
UCUGGUGUGAGUGAAUUAAAUAGAGAAGCCUUUAGGGUCGAAACAUGGCAAGACUCCUAAGGGUUUUUUCUCUUU